rnacentral:rRNA from 1 species
GAUGAACGCUAGCUACAGGCUUAACACAUGCAAGUCGAGGGGAAACGACAUCGAAAGCUUGCUUUUGGUGGGCGUCGACCGGCGCACGGGUGAGUAACGCGUAUCCAACCUGCCCACCACUUGGGGAUAACCUUGCGAAAGUAAGACUAAUACCCAAUGACGUCUCUAGAAGACAUCUGAAAGGGAUUAAAGAUUUAUCGGUGAUGGAUGGGGAUGCGUCUGAUUAGCUUGUUGCGGGGUAACGGCCCACCAAGGCUACGAUCAGUAGGGGUUCUGAGAGGAAGGUCCCCCACAUUGGAACUGAGACACGGUCCAAACUCCUACGGGAGGCAGCAGUGAGGAAUAUUGGUCAAUGGGCGAGAGCCUGAACCAGCCAAGUAGCGUGCAGGACGACGGCCCUAUGGGUUGUAAACUGCUUUAUAAGGGAAUAAAGUGAGUCUCGUGAGACUUUUGCAUGUACCUUAUGAAUAAGGACCGGCUAAUUCCGUG